rnacentral:rRNA from 1 species
AUUGAACGCUGGCGGCAGGCUUAACACAUGCAAGUCGAGCGGGGGAAGGUAGCUUGCUACCGGACCUAGCGGCGGACGGGUGAGUAAUGCUUAGGAAUCUGCCUAUUAGUGGGGGACAACGUCUCGAAAGGGAUGCUAAUACCGCAUACGUCCUACGGGAGAAAGCAGGGGAUCUUCGGACCUUGCGCUAAUAGAUGAGCCUAAGUCGGAUUAGCUAGUUGGUGGGGUAAAGGCCUACCAAGGCGACGAUCUGUAGCGGGUCUGCGAGGAUGAGCAGCCACGCUGGGACUGAGACACGGCCCAGACUCCGACGGGAGGAAGCAGUGGGGAAUAUUGGACAAUGGGGGGAACCCUGAUCCAGCCAUGCCGCGUGUGUGAAGAAGGCCUUAUGGUUGUAAAGCACUUUAAGCGAGGAGGAGGCUACUCUAGUUAAUACCUGGGGAUAGUGGACGUUACUCGCAGAAUAAGCACCGGCUAACUCUGUGCCAGCCGCCGCAGUAA